CCGGCAUUACACUUUGGGAAGGAUUUCAUUUUUAUGGUCUACUUUUCGAUAGAAAUCGCGAACCAAUUUACUUCAUUCAUGGCAUGCUUGGUUUGUUUGAAGACCUCACACAGACGGUGAUUUUGGUCAGCGUGCGUCGCUUAUCAAGUAGGGAUGACACAAAUGCACGCGCGAUAACAAAUAUGUCGCUGUUUUUGCUUGCCACAAAUUUCACAUUGUGGAUUCAGAAUUCUUUCUACAUCGGACAACAGCUUGAAAAUCCUGGAGAGCAUCACGACACUCUUGAAGAACACUUGGGUACUUUCGCUAAUAUUCUCAAUCCCAUUAUUAUAUUUUUUCGUUUCCACUCGGCAACUUGCUGUUAUCAGAUGUGGGUCAUUUUCAGCCACACCAACGUGAUUGAGAAUUAGGUAAUUUUUGAAUCACACCGCAAUGAAUAAUUUUUAAAUCGACAGUUUUAAAUGGAUUUUAUUAGCACAUUAAAAUGAAUCGAAAUUAACAGGGAAUUAAUUAAGAUGCGCUUGCAUUAUUACGCGUAUCACAAUAGGC
rnacentral:lncRNA from 1 species